GGGAAGAGGAAAAAAGAAGAAGAAGAGAAGAAGAAAGAUGCAAAAAAAAAAAGAGAGACAGAUAAACAGAAGAAAAUUGCAGAGAAAGAAGUAAGGAUUAAGCUUCUUAAGAAACCAGAAAAGGGAGAGGAACCAACCACAGAGAAACCAAAAGAAAGAGGAGAGGAGAUUGAUACUGGAGGUGGCAAGCAGGAAUCCUGUGCCCCCGGUGCAGUCGUAAAAGCCAGGCCCGUGGAAGGCUCGCUGGAGGAGCCCCAGGAGACGACCGGCCAGCCUUGCAGCUGUAUGAUCCAGGAGCUCACUUCCGAGCGCUAGAGUGUGGCGGAAACAGGAGGAUCUGCAAGGCAGAAGGUUCGGGAACUGGUCCUGAGAAGAGGGAAGAGGCAGAGUGAGUCACUGCACGCACCUGGCCUCCAUGGACGAGCGAGGGCAUCCCAGAAACGUGUAAAUGACCCCGAGUGUGACUGGGAAGGAGAACUUAUUCCUUACCAGGAAACUGGAAGCUAAAACUACAGAGGGUGACAUAGAAACACGCAGAAACCAUUCUAAAGAAAGUAGUGAUCUUGUAUUAAAUUGAGCAGAAUUCUCACAGAUUUUACCAUUCCUGUUAUAAACUAGUAUUUGUUGUUUAGCCAAAACAGAAAAUGAUUUCCACUGGACAGUAGAAAAAUAUGUGUAAAAUAGGGAAGAAAGUUAGUAUUGGAUCAGUGUGAGUCCUGAAGCACUUUCA
rnacentral:lncRNA from 1 species